rnacentral:lncRNA from 1 species
UGAAUCAGUUAGGUUCUUUGAUAUGCUGAAUCUAAAAAUGUACUUAGAUUCUUGAUUAUUGCCCCAGUUUUCAAGUUGGUCCAAAUCGGGGUCCAAAAUUAAACUUUGUUUGAUUUCAUCAAAAAAUUGAAUAAAUGGGGUUCUUUGAUAUACCAAAUCUAACUGUGUAUGUAGAUUCUUCAUUUUUGGUCCUGUUUUCAAAUUGGUCUACACUAAAGUCCAAAGGGUCCAAAAUUAAACUUAGUCUGAUUUUAACAAAAAUUGAAAUCUUGGGGUUCUUUGAUAUGCUGAAUCCAAAAAUGUACUUAGAUUUUUUAUUAUGAGCCCAGUUUUCAAGUUGGUCCAAAUCAGGAUCUAAAAUUAUUAUAUUAAGUAUUGUGCAAUAGCAAGUCUUUUCAAUUGCACAGUAUUGCUCAAUGGCAAGAAAUAUCUAAUUGCACAAUAUUGUGAAAUAGCAAAUUUUUUUUUAAUU